rnacentral:rRNA from 1 species
AACGAACGCUGGCGGCAGGCCUAACACAUGCAAGUCGAGCGCCCCGCAAGGGGAGCGGCGGACGGGUGAGUAACGCGUGGGAACGUACCCUUUGCUACGGAAUAGCCUCGGGAAACUGGGAGUAAUACCGUAUGUGCCCUUCGGGGGAAAGAUUUAUCGGCAAAGGAUCGACCCGCGUUGGAUUAGGUAGUUGGUGGGGUAAUGGCCUACCAAGCCGACGAUCCAUAGCUGGUUUGAGAGGAUGAUCAGCCACACUGGGACUGGGACACGGCCCAGACUCCUACGGGAGGCAGCAGUGGGGAAUCUUAGACAAUGGGCGCAAGCCUGAUCUAGCCAUGCCGCGUGAGCGAUGAAGGCCUUAGGGUUGUAAAGCUCUUUCAGUGGGGAAGAUAAUGACUGUACCCACAGAAGAAGCCCCGGCUAACUCCGUGCCAGCAGCCGCGGUAAUGUAGACGU